rnacentral:rRNA from 1 species
CGCCUCUAGCAAAACUAAUAUUAGAGGUACUGCCUGCCCAGUGAUAAACUUUAACGGCCGCGGUAUCUUGACCGUGCAAAGGUAGCAUAAUCACUUGUCUUCUAAAUAAAGACUAGUAUGAACGGCAAAACGAAGGUCUAACUGUCUCCUUUGUCUACUCAAUGAAAUUGAUCCUCCAGUACAAAAGCUGUAAUAAAAUAACAAGACGAGAAGACCCUAUGGAGCUUAAAACACACUAGAAAAUGCAACCUUUUUACAACUUCAUGCAUCAAUUCCACACUGUUUUCGGUUGGGGCGACCACGGAGAACACUUAACCUCCGAGAUGACAUGCCAGGAAACAAUCCUAAACAUCAGAAAACUGACAUAAUUGACCCAAUUAACUUUGAUCAACGAACCAAGUUACCCUAGGGAUAACAGCGCAAUCCUCUUUAAGAGCCCAUAUCGACAAGAGGGCUUACGACCUCGAUGUUGGAUCAGGGUAACCUGACAGUGUAACCGCCGUCAAAGGUUUGUUUGUUCAACAAUUAAAACCCU